ACUGCAUCUAACUCUUUCAGCUGCCUGUUGGAUCUCUCAGAGGGCAGCCAUGUCAGGCUCCUGUGGAGCCCCUAUGCAACGAUCCAAAGGUCUGUCACAUCAUUAUUCUGCAAUCUACAUAGAUUUUAUAAUAGACAUUCUAUUUUCAUUUAUAAGUUUGGCUCAUAAUCACUGUAGUGUUUAGCAUGACUCUUGGCCACACCCAGCAGUUGACAUAAUCAGAUUCUAAAAUCCUUAUGCUGUGGCUUGAGAAUCACACUCAGAAGAGAAGAAAAAUCAACCCCAUCUUCAGUUGGUGAGUUUUAGCUGCCUGGUAGCAACCUAUCAUUGAAAUAGAAACCACAUCCCCUAUCUAACUAGGCCUCAAAACCAUAGCAAGAGUCAGGGACAUAGGGUUAUUAAUAUAGGCACAGAGAGGCCCAGUCACUCACUGAAGAAUGAAGGAUUACUUGACCACUAGAAAGGGGCUCAAAGUUGUGCUGGUUUAUGUAUGUUCACACUUGGGGACUUCGUAAACUAAAAAGAGAAAAUCAAACUUCCAGGGUAUGAAUUCAAUAACUCAAGCAUUUGAAUAUACAUUCUUAAAUACUCGAAAUCAUGCUUCCAGUGAAAAGUGGAGUGGGGGGUGUCAUUCAUGCAUCACUGGCAAUGUACAGUGUGACAUACGUGUGAUGUAUUCAGACAUUGUGAUUAACUAUGAGGGAGGAGACAAGGUUUCCUCAGUCUAUAGGGAUGUGGGAAAGCAGUUUAUAGCGGGGAGAGCAUGCUCAGUGGAAUUGGGGCAUGAAUGACAUCUUGGAGGCCUGAAACAUCUCCUGCAUCAGGAGAAUCUGUAAAGCAUCUGGACUCCUCCUCUCCCCACUUCCAUGGAAUGGUCUUCCACACCCCAUCAGCACUGGACUUGGAUGGGUGACUUAAUUUUGCCAAGAGGAAGUAAGACUAUGUAGAAUAGAUUGCCAGAUACUCUGGCAAUCCAUCACCAGUAACACAUGCCCUUCAUCCUGGACCCAAGAUACCUGCCUAUGCUGCAGUAGUAGGAACUAUGUCUGAAGCUGUCAGGACCUGAAUCAGGGAUGCCUAGUCAAUACCUUGCAAGCCUUUGCCUCUGUCAGUGAACACAGAUAUGAGUAAAUGUAUAUUCUUGGCAGUAUA
rnacentral:sRNA from 1 species